CACUACUAUAUAACAAAUAAUUUGAGGUUUGGUAGGAUACUAUUUUUGAAAUGGGAAAUCUGACGAUUGUGUUUGCUCUCACUGUCCUUCUAAUCGGGAGUGUAAGCAGUUUAGAAUGUAUGGCAUGCUCGGGUUCUAUGAAGCCAGAGAACUGUAAUAUCGCUACAUGUGAACCGGAAGUUAACCAGUGCUACCACAUGAUCCCUAACACUAACCAGGAGUCGAGUGUUAGGGGCUGCUUGCCUACGGAACAAGACUUUGCUUCAGAUUGUGCUGAAAACGACUCCUGCGAAUUCCAAUCGUGCUCAGAAGAACGAUGUAACAGCAGUCCAGGAAUGCUAUCCUCAUUUCUCCUAAUCCUCUUCUCAACUUUCUUCUGGUGUUUCUGAUCAGUUUGAGAUACUAAUAUUGUUGAAGAACUAGAAGAAUUCUUGUUGUGUUUGCGUAAUGGCUUAGUAAUAUCAAAAUUGGAUUUAGCUUAGGAAUGCAAAGUAAGGCUGGAUUAUUAUUCUCAAUUUUAUGUUUUGAAAUAAACAAAUAAAACCAUCAGCUACUCUCUAAAGCUGUAUUUUGCGCUAUCUAUACUUAUAGUUCAAAAUAAGGGUCAUAGAACAGACAAGGCAGGUCGGUCGGGCGCCGGUCGGAGGUCGGUCGGGCGAAGAGGAGAAUAAUAUCAGUUAAAGAGUAUGCCUGUGCAAUAUCGAAAUACAUUGAAGGUUUAAAUAUAUUGUCCCCAAAACAUAUAAUAUUGUUCGAUUCCCAUUGCAGAGCUAAUUGAUUGUUCGAAGUUUUUUGGUAAAUAAAUAUGUUGAUAUAACUAUAAGUUUAAGUUGGAAUGUCCUACAUCAAGUUGAUAAGCCUUUCUAACGAAUAACUUUAUCUCUGAAAAUAAAACAAUGCGUUACAUUUAACUGAUCCCAAACGACAUUUUGGAAUUAAAGCGGCUCAUUCCUUUCUUAAUACUUUUUGUUUUUUAUAUAGAUCAUUUGUACUUAUAUUUCAAACUACACAAUUAGUUUAUGUUUUAUCUAAUCCGUUGUCCCAGU